UACAGAGGUCUCAAGCGUUGUUCGGAUUCAUUGGGCGUAAAGGGUGCGUAGGCGGCGCGGUAAGUCGGGUGUGAAAUCUCGGAGCUUAGCUCCGAAACUGCAUUCGAUACUGCCGUGCUUGAGGACUGGAGAGGAGACUGGAAUUUACGGUGUAGAGGUGAAAUUCGUAGAUAUUGGGAAGAACACCGGUGGCGAAGGCGGCCAUCUGGCCCACAAUUGACGCUGAGGCGCGAAAGCGUGGGGAGCAAACAGG
rnacentral:rRNA from 1 species